rnacentral:rRNA from 1 species
AAUAUUGGACAAUGGUGGCAACUCUGAUCUAGCCAUGCCGCGUGUGUGAAGAAGGCUUUCGGUUUGUAAAGCACUUUAAGUUGGGAGGAAGGUCUUUAGGUUACUUCCCUGAAAGUCUGACGUUACCAACAGUAUAAGCACCGGCUUACUCUGUUGCAGCAGCCGUGGUAAUACAGAGGGGGCAAGCGUUAAUCGGAAUGACUGGGCGUAAAGAGCGCGUAGGGGGUUCAGUAAGAUGGGUGUGAAAGCCCCGGGCUUAACCUGGGAAAUGCUUUCAUAACUGCUGAGCUAGAGUACGGUAGAGGGUAGUGGAAUUUCCUGUGUAGCGGUGAAAUGCGUAGAUAUAGGGAGGAACACCAGUGGCGAAGGCGACUACCUGGACUGAUACUGACACUGAGGUGCGAAAGCGUGGGGAGCAAACA